AUUCCAUGGUGCGGACAUUUCCUUAGCAACUCCUUAAAGCACUCCCAAGAAUCAUACAGUGACUCUCCAUCCAACUGAUAAAAAUUAUUAAUCUCACCCCUUAACUU